rnacentral:rRNA from 1 species
GACGAACGCUGGCGGCGUGCUUAACACAUGCAAGUCGAACGGAAAGGCCCUUCGGGGUACUCGAGUGGCGAACGGGUGAGUAACACGUGGGUGAUCUGCCCUGCACUUUGGGAUAAGCCUGGGAAACUGGGUCUAAUACCGAAUAGGACCACGCGCUUCAUGGUGUGUGGUGGAAAGCUUUUGCGGUGUGGGAUGGGCCCGCGGCCUAUCAGCUUGUUGGUGGGGUAAUGGCCUACCAAGGCGACGACGGGUAGCCGGCCUGAGAGGGUGACCGGCCACGCUGGGACUGAGAUGCGGCCCAGACUCCUACGGGAGGCAGCAGUGGAGAAUAUUGCACAAUGGGCGGAAGCCUGAUGCAGCGACGCCGCGUGGGGGAUGACGGCCUUCGGGUUGUAAACCACUUUCAUUAGAGACGAAGCGCAAGUGACGGUACCUAUAGAAGAAGCACCGGCCAACUACGUG